GUGUCAGCAGCCGCGGUAAGACAGAGGUUGCAAACGUUGUUCGGAAUCACUGGGCAUAAAGCGCACGUAGGUGGUCUGCUAAGUCGUGUGUGAAAUGCCCCGGCUCAACCGGGGAAUGGCGCACGAUACUGGCAGGCUCGAGGUCGGGAGGGGUGAGUGGAACUCCUGGUGGAGCGGUGAAAUGCGUAGAUAUCAGGAGGAACACCGGUGGCGAAAGCGACUCACUGGCCCGAAUCUGACACUGAGGUGCGAAAGCUAGGGUAGCAAACGGGAUUAGAAACCCUCGUAGUCC
rnacentral:rRNA from 1 species